UACGGAGGGUGCAAGCGUUAUCCGGAUUCACUGGGUUUAAAGGGUGCGUAGGCGGAUUGGUAAGUCCGUGGUGAAAUCCCCCGAGCUUAACUUGGGAACUGCCGUGAUACUAUCAGUCUUGAAUAUCGUGGAGGUAAGCGGAAUAUGUCAUGUAGCGGUGAAAUGCUUAGAUAUGACAUAGAACACCAAAUUGCGAAGGCAGCUUACUACACGAUCAUUGACACUGAGGCACGAAAGCGUGGGGAGCAAACAGG
rnacentral:rRNA from 1 species